rnacentral:rRNA from 1 species
UACAGAGGGGGCAAGCGUUAUUCGGAAUUAUUGGGCGUAAAGGGCGCGUAGGCGGCCUGGCAAGUGGAAGGUGAAAUCCCUCGGCUUAACCGAGGAACUGCCCUCCAAACUGCUUGGCUUGAGUCCGGGAGAGGUGAGUGGAAUUCCCAGUGGUAGCGGGUGAAAUGCGUAGAUAUUGGGAGGAACACCAGUGGCGAAGGCGGCUCACUGGACCGGAACUGACGCUGAGGCGCGGAAAGCGUGGGGAGCAAACGGGG